AGUGAACGCUGGCGGUAGGCCUAACACAUGCAAGUCGAACGGCAGCACAGGAGAGCUUGCUCUCUGGGUGGCGAGUGGCGGACGGGUGAGGAGUACGUCGGAAUCUACCUUUUCGUGGGGGAUAACGUAGGGAAACUUACGCUAAUACCGCAUAAGACCUUCGGUGAAGACCGGGGACCGUCGGCCGUCGGCGCGGAGUAGAUGAGCCGA
rnacentral:rRNA from 1 species